CGUAGGUAAACCUGUGGAAGGAUCAUUGUCGGCGACCCGCGAAGACACGAUCGGGGCACACGUGAUGGAACACUGCUAGAGCGGCGGCGCCGUACUAGCCACAACCGGCCGCCGUCCUUGUGCCUACGGUGCGUUGGCUGCGGGCCGAAAACGACGUGGGAUGACUCCAAGUAAGAUGUGAUACGGAGGCGGAGGCGGCUCGUCUUAGCGAGCCGCCUGCUGCCGACGUGGAGGAAAUCGACAUGACUCUCGACAACGGAUAUCUCAGCUCUCGCAUCGAUGAAGAAUGUAGCGAAAUGCGAUACGUGGUGUGAAUUGCAGAAUCCCGCGAACCAUCAAGUUUUUGAACGCAAGUUGUGCCCGAGGGUCUCGCUCGAGGGCACGCCUGCCUCAUGGGCGUAAUAAGCCCACCAAUGCUCAUGUGUCUGAGCCAUGUUACUUGUGACGGGCCCGGCCUGAUGCGAACGAUGGCCCUCCGAGCCCCAGCGUGCGUCGGUCGGAUGUGGCUGGAGCGGCGUAUGGUGGGAUCCUGCUCGUGCCGCCUCGUGCCAUUUGCUGGCGUCUGGCGAUUUCCAUCGACCCCGUACUAGGAGCUCGUUGUCGGCGCGUCUGACUGCGAGGCGCCCUCGGAUUGAUACCCCAGGUCAGGCAGGGCUACCCGCCGAGUUUAAGCAUA
rnacentral:misc_RNA from 1 species